rnacentral:rRNA from 1 species
UACGUAGGCAGCGAGCGUUGUUCGGAAUUACUGGGCGUAAAGAGUGUGUAGGCGGUGCUCUAAGUUCGGUGUGAAAUCUCCUGGCUCAACUGGGAGGGUGCGCCGGAAACUGGAGUGCUUGAGCGUGGGAGAGGAAAGCGGAAUUCCUGGUGUAGCGGUGAAAUGCGUAGAUAUCAGGAGGAACACCGAUGGCGAAGGCAGGUCUCUGGGCUGACACUGACGCUCAUGCACGAAAGCGUGGGGAGCAAACAGG